GCACCGGCUAACUCCGUGCCAGCAGCCGCGGUAAUACGGACGGGUGCGAGCGUUAAUCGGAAGUUACUGGGCGUAAAGCGCAUGCAGGCGGCCUGUUAAGUCAGAUGUGAAAGCCCCGGGGCUUAACCUACGGAAUUGCAUUUGUAAACUGGCAGGCUAGAGUCUUGUAGAGGGGGGUAGGAAUUUCAGGUGUAGCGGUGAAAUAGCGUAGAGAUCUGAAGGAAUACCAGUGGCGAAGGCGGCCCCCCUGGACAAAGACUGACGCUCAGAUGCGAAAGCGUGGGGAGCAAACAGGAUUAGAUACCCCUGGUAG
rnacentral:rRNA from 1 species